rnacentral:rRNA from 1 species
GAUGAACGCUGGCGGCGUGCCUAAUACAUGCAAGUCGAGCGAACAGACGAGGAGCUUGCUCCUCUGACGUUAGCGGCGGACGGGUGAGUAACACGUGGAUAACCUACCCAUAAGACUGGGAUAACUUCGGGAAACCGGAGCUAAUACCGGAUAAUAUAUUGAACCGCAUGGUUCAAUAGUGAAAGACGGUUUUGCUGUCACUUAUAGAUGGAUCCGCGCCGCAUUAGCUAGUUGGUAAGGUAACGGCUUACCAAGGCGACGAUGCGUAGCCGACCUGAGAGGGUGAUCGGCCACACUGGAACUGAGACACGGUCCAGACUCCUACGGGAGGCAGCAGUAGGGAAUCUUCCGCAAUGGGCGAAAGCCUGACGGAGCAACGCCGCGUGAGUGAUGAAGGUCUUCGGAUCGUAAAACUCUGUUAUUAGGGAAGAACAAAUGUGUAAGUAACUAUGCACGUCUUGACGGUACCUAAUCAGAAAGCCACGGCUAACUACGU